rnacentral:rRNA from 1 species
UACGGGGGGAGCGAGCGUUAUCCAGAAUGAUUGGGCGUAAAGGGUUCGUAGGUGGGAAAAAGGAUGUUGCUAAUCAAAGACCAAAGCUUAACUUUGGGAAGGUUAACAAGACACUUUUCCUAGAGUGGAAGAGAAGAGAAUAGAAUUUCAUAUGGAGAGGUAGAAUUCGUAGAUAUAUGAAGGAAUGCCAAAGGCGAAAGCAAUUUUCUAGCUUAGAACUGACGCUGAGGAACGAAAGCGUGGGGAGCAAAUAGG